rnacentral:rRNA from 1 species
ACGGGUGAGUAAUGUCUGGGGAUCUGCCCGAUAGAGGGGGAUAACCACUGGAGACGGUGGCUAAUACCGCAUAACGUCGCAAGACCAAAGAGGGGGACCUUCGGGCCUCUCACUAUCGGAUGAACCCAGAUGGGAUUAGCUAGUAGGCGGGGUAACGGCCCACCUAGGCGACGAUCCCUAGCUGGUCUGAGAGGAUGACCAGCCACACUGGAACUGAGACACGGUCCAGACUCCUACGGGAGGCAGCAGUGGGGAAUAUUGCACAAUGGGCGCAAGCCUGAUGCAGCCAUGCCGCGUGUAUGAAGAAGGCCUUCGGGUUGUAAAGUACUUUCAGCGGGGAGGAAGGCGAUGUGGUUAAUAACCGCAUUGAUUGACGUUACCCGCAGAAGAAGCACCGGCUAACUCCGUGCCAGCAGCCGCGGUAAUACGGAGGGUGCAAGCGUUAAUCGGAAUUACUGGGCGUAAAGCGCACGCAGGCGGUCUGUUAAGUCAGAUGUGAAAUCCCCGGGCUUAACCUGGGAACUGCAUUUGAAACUGGCAGGCUUGAGUCUCGUAGAGGGGGGUAGAAUUCCAGGUGUAGCG